rnacentral:rRNA from 1 species
AAGUGCAUGUGGUGGAUGCCUUGGCGAUCACAGGCGAUGAAGGACGUGCGAGCCUGCGAAAAGCUCCGGGGAGCUGGCAACGAAGCUUUGAUCCGGAGAUGUCCGAAUGGGGAAACCCACCCUUCGGGGUAUCCUGGCCUGAAUACAUAGGGCCAGAGAAGCGAACCGGGUGAACUGAAACAUCUCAGUAGCUCGAGGAAAAGAAAUCAACCGAGAUUCCCAAAAGUAGUGGCGAGCGAAAUGGGACAAGCCUGCACGAUUUAGCAGAACGGUUAAGAGAACGGAUUGGAAACUCCGGCCAUAGAGGGUGAUAGCCCCGUAUUUGAAAACCGAUUUGUGGAACUAGGCGUGCGACAAGUAGGCGGGACACGUGUAAUCCUGUCUGAAGAUGGGGGACCGAUCCUCCAAGGCUAAAUACUCGUGAUCGACCGAUAGUGAACCAGUACCGUGAGGGAAAGGCG